rnacentral:misc_RNA from 1 species
GAACGCAUCUUGCGCUCCUUGGUAUUCCGAGGAGCAUGCCUGUUCGAGCGUCAUUUCACCACUCAAGCCUGGCUUGGUGUUGGGCGACGUCCCCUUUGGGGACGCGCCUCGAAACGCUCGGCGGCGUGGCACCGGCUUUAAGCGUAGCAGAAUCUUUCGCUUUGGAAGUCGGGGCCCCGUCUGCCGGAAGACCUACUCGCAAGGUUGACCUCGGAUCAGGCAGGGAUACCCGCUGAACUUAAG